CUAAAGUGUUCGGUUGUUUUGUGUUCAUAGUAAUGUUUAAAUAAAACUAUAGAGUUAAUUAAUUGUUAAUAUUUAAAUAUUAUUGAUGAAAAUUGUUUAUAAAUACCGUUAUGUUAAAGUGUUUAUAAAAAAGUUUUAAAUUAUUAAUAUAAAAAAGUGUUUUACAAUUUGCCGAAAAUCCAAUGCAAUUUUGUUAAGCCGAACGCCGGUCGUUCAUGUUUAAAUUAAUCAACAGCGUCGAUUAAUUGUUAAUAAUUAAAUAUUUUUGUUGAAAAUUGUUUAUAAAUACCGUUAUUGAAAAAUGUUUUGUAAAAAAGUGUUAAAUUAUUGAUAUAAAAAAAGUGUUUUAAAAUUUGCCAAAUAUGCAAUGCAAUUUCGUUAAGCCGAGCGCUGGUCGGUGAUUUUUUUGUCGGGCCUUUCGUUUUGUGAAGUUAGGAGGAGUAAGCUUGAAACAAUGGUGGUAUGUAGUGGAAAAAUUUGGAAAGAAAAGCUGCGAAAAAUUAUGAAAAAAAGUUAAAAAAAAGAGUUGGUGGUAAAUAUGUAUGUAAAUAUGUUGACACGUGUUGCAAAAUGGAGAUAUUGUUUUUGUAUGCAAGAAAAUACAAGCGGGAGUAUAACGUUAGUUGAACAACAAAAGAAAAAGUUGACAUCAAACACGUUAGCAGGAUAUUGUCUUCAAUGGUAUUUGGUGCAUAAAUAUGAGAAUACAAAAUAAUAUCUUAGAGAUACCAGAAGAUCUACAUACUUACCAAUAUCAAUAAAGAAUAUAACAUCUACAAUUGAAUCAACAACAAGUAAUGAAACAUCUUCUGAGGUUUUAUUUUUAAAAGCUACAUUAUAUGGCACCUGCAAACAGCAUAUGAAAGCAGGAGAAAACUACAACAAAAUAUAAUGCAAAAAAAAACAACAACAAAAUAAAAAUUAUAAUGGAAAAAAAUGGAAACUAAAGCACCAU